GUUUCCCCUCAGACAGACCACAUUUCAGAUUUUGUUGGAGGUAAAAGAAAUGAGCUGAUAACAGACUGUAGCCUCGAGCUUUUGCAAUCAGACCCGGAGAAGGAAGGUUACCAUGUGAGCUCCAGGAGCCCGUCUGCACGGAUCUAGUUUCAGGGGGAAGAGGACAGAAUGGAAAAGCUGAAAAACAUGGAGAAUUUUGUUGCAGAGAAGCUAAUUCUAAGAUGUUACAGAUGGAAGCAGGAAAAUGGUAAGUUAUUAAAUAAUUACAAAUAGUACCUGCAAUGUUAAUAAUACUUUUGUCUUUUAUGCCAUUAAA
rnacentral:lncRNA from 1 species